CUUUGCUUUUUUAUAGACUGGAUUUAUAUAUUUAUAACUAAAAUUAGGUUAAAUUUUUUUUUUAUAGAGUUAAAUAUUUAGAUUGAUGAAAGAUGUAUAAUAGUGACAGGGAUUAGAUACCCCAUUAAUGUACAUUGUAGCUUUGUCUUAGUUAAUAUAACUAAAAUAAUUUGGCAGUGAGCGACUCUUUUUAGGGGAAGGUGUGGUGUAAAGGAUGUUCCGCCUAAUAAUUUACUUUCGUUAUGUUGGUGUAUAUCUGGUUUAAUAUUAUCGUUGAGUAAGUGAGUUUGUGUAGUUUUAUUUAAGCCAAGUCUAUGUGCUGCUUAUGAAAGUAUUCAUGCGUUACAUUUAUAAGGUUUUGGUUGUAAUACUAAAAUAUUUAGGACUUAAAAGUAAUGUUCAAUAAGUUUGUGAGUGUGAAGUAAGUUUAGCUCAUG
rnacentral:rRNA from 1 species